ensembl:lncRNA
GCUUGUGAUUGGACGAGCUCCGCGUCAGUCAUCGUCAGGGGGCGUGGCCUUGACAUCUCUCUCGCUGUAACGCGUUUGAGACUCAGUUUGAUUCAGUGACACGAACGGAGUCAUCAUCAUCUUUAUCUUCAUCAUCAUCACUGUAACAGCUUUGCGAACACUUUUCACUCACUGGAAACGUGCAUCAUUCCCAGCGAGGAUCGCACAGCUGAAAGUCUGUGGGAAGUUUGCUGGGCAUUAUAUAUUUGGGAUUUCUUUGGAUCUGCGCGUCUGUGAACUUCAUCCGAGCGCGUCACGAUGUGUCACCAGAGCUGGUUGUGGUUUCUCGGUGCGCUGCUGCUGGGCUUCUGCGCUCGCGCCAUUGGGGAUCAUGAAUGCGAGCAUUGCUCCAGGCUGGAGCUCGAGCUGUGCGGCGGACCGGACUGGACUCUGGGCUUCUGCGGAUCCGGACUCACCUGCGCGGCGCUCAACAGAACCGGACCGGCGCGCGCACCUGAGACAGGUGUCUGCAGAGCGGUACCCGAUGAGACGGAUGCAGACGAGCGCUGUCCGCUGGUGAGCGGCUGUGAACGUGUGGACGGACAGUGUGUGUGUGGAUCCAAACACUCCUGCAUCCGGACCUACAGCUUUCCCGACAGAGACGCCUGCGUGCGUGCUGGGAAAACAGGUUCUCGCCGUCACACACACAGACACAGGUUUGUGGGUCCCGUGAACCCGGCGUGUGUGUUUUCUGGCUGUAAUCUGACGGCGGACGGCUGUGUUUGUUCGUCUCAGAGCUGCGACGAUCACUUCACGUACGCCAACCGCAGUCAGUGCCAGCGAGCCGCAGGUAACACAGCGUUUCCAGCACAUUCACACUGAACAGGACGCUAAUUUCCAUGAGUAUGAAUCUAAUGUUUAAGCACAUAAUGAUAUUCCAGGGAACUGUGUGCUUCUAAUAUUAUAGCAACAGUUUGGACAGGACAAAACUCAUCAUAAGGUCCGUUUUAGACUCAAAGCGUUUAUUAUCAUGUGUACAGAGAAAAACCCUUUUCCCUUUAAAAUGAAUUUUUUUCAUGCAUUCUACAUUGAAUGCCAAGACGAGUGCAAACUAUGUAAAAAAGAUAAAAAACAGACAUUAUAAAGUAUAGCUAUGUUACAGAAGUAGAAUUAUAGAUGAUGUUUAUAGAAAUAUAGACUACAGUAUGUACAUCUGUUUGUGUGAGUGUGCAAUAUUCACUUGUGUAAGAAAAUAGUAUUGUAACAUGUGCACGGUCGUGUUUGGGCGAUCCCUUUAAAAGUCAUUGUUUUACUGGAUCAGAUGAGUUCAGUUCAGGUCAGAGAAGACUCGGGCCUCUCCAUAUCUCAAAAUGCCAUUUGAAACCUGUUUUUUUUUCUCUUUCCCUCUGAUGUUGUGCUGAAGUCGCUGGAGCUGGGCUCAUUGUUUCUCUUUACGUGCAUUAUACCGAAAAUCGAUGUUAAACCAGAGGGCUCACCCCGAAAAAAGCCACACGGGGCGGUGGGACUGAGCUGGCUUUGUUCCGUGCUGACUAGCAUCCAAAGUCAGUGUCUGAACAGAGUGUGCAUUGUAUGCUUUUUCCACGAGUAAACCCUGCUUGUCAACACAGCCUCCUCUGCCUGCGAGCCGCGCGUGACGGAGGAAGACUGCCGCCCUUGUGCCCCCGCUGCAAAUAAAAACACUUUCACAAAGAGCCGCUUCA